UACGAAGGGGGCUAGCGUUGCUCGGAAUCACUGGGCGUAAAGGGCGCGUAGGCGGCCGUUCAAGUCGGGGGUGAAAGCCUGUGGCUCAACCACAGAAUGGCCCUCGAUACUGGAUGGCUCGAGACCGGAAGAGGUUGGUGGAACUGCGAGUGUAGAGGUGAAAUUCGUAGAUAUUCGCAAGAACACCAGUGGCGAAGGCGGCUCACUGGCCCGAUACUGACGCUGAGGCACGAAAGCGUGGGGAGCAAACAGGG
rnacentral:rRNA from 1 species